CGGCUCCAUGGCCGACCCGGUGGAGGCUGCCUUUAUCGUCGGCGCAGCGUUGAAUUCCCUCGACAAUCUGGUGCGCUCCGACCCGCCCUGGGCCGGC
rnacentral:tRNA from 1 species